rnacentral:ncRNA from 1 species
GUUCUUCGGGGCAGGGUGCAAUUCCCUACCGGCGGUACAGUCCGCGAACCGCUUCCUGGCGGCCGAUUCGGUGCGAUUCCGAAACCGACAGUUACAGUCUGGAUGAGAGAAGAC